rnacentral:rRNA from 1 species
CAGGAGAAAAGGCAACAAAUUCUUAAUGAGAUGAGAACAUUAUGUGAAGCAAGUUGCUAUCCUGGUUUAGUUGAAUUCCAGGGUGCAUUUUACAUGCCUGAUUCUGGACAAAUAAGCAUUGCCCUUGAAUACAUGGAUGGUGGCUCUUUAGCAGACGUUAUAAAAGUCAAGAAAUCAAUACCAGAGCCAGUUCUUGCACAUAUGCUACAGAAAGUGUUACUUGGCCUGAAGUACUUGCAUGAAGUAAGACAUCUAGUGCAUAGAGAUCUAAAGCCAGCAAAUUUACUGGUAAACCUUAAGGGCGAAGCAAAAAUUACAGAUUUUGGUGUAAGUGCUGGUUUGGACAAUACAAUGGCUAUGUGUGCUACCUUUGUAGGCACUGUGACAUAUAUGUCACCUGAGAGAAUCCGCAAUGAGAACUACUCCUAUGCUGCUGAUAUUUGGAGUCUUGGACUAACGAUAUUGGAGUGUGCUACUGGUAAAUUUCCAUAUAAUGUCAACGAAGGCCCAGCCAAUCUCAUGCUACAGAUACUCGAUGAUCCAUCACCAACACCACCAGAAGAUGCCUAUACACCAGAAUUUUGUUCCUUCAUAAAUGAUUGCUUGAGGAAAGAUGCUGAUGCAAGGCCUACAUGCGAGCAGCUUUUGUCACACGCAUUUAUCAAGAGGUAUGAGCAAACUGGUGUGGACUUGGCAGCAUAUGUCAGGGGUGUUGUUAAUCCAACAGAGAGAUUAAAGCAAAUAGCAGAGAUGCUUGCUGUUCAUUAUUACCUCCUUUUUAAUGGCUCUGAAGGACCUUGGAAUUAUAUGAAGACAUUCUACAAGGAGGAAUCAUCUUUCAGUUUUUCAGGGAAUGUGUAUGUCGGACAAAGUGCCAUAUUUGAUACUUUAUCAAAUAUAAGAAAGAAGUUGAAAGGUGACCGGCCUAGAGAAAAAAUUGUUCAUGUUGUUGAGAAGCUACAUUGCCGCGCGAAUGGGGAAACAGAAAUUGCUAUCCGUGUGUCUGGAUCAUUCAUCACGGGCAACCAAUUCCUGAUAUUUGGUGAAGGGUUGCAAGCUGAAGGGAUGCCCAGCUUGGAGGAAAUUGAUAUUGACAUUCCAAGCAAGCGGGUUGGCCAGUUCCGGGAGCAGUUUACCGUGCAUCCAGGGACUUCCAUGGGAUGCUACUACAUAGCAAAGCAAGAUCUCUACAUCGUCCAGUCAUGA